UUUUAAAAAAAGGUUUGACUUUGGAAUUCAUGGCAGCAAAUGUCGUGAAAUCAAGGUGUAGUAUACAAUUUAGGGGCUACUUUCUUUGCCUUCCUGAGGCUAGAAGUGUGGUCGGACGCUUACUUGGGUCUCUGGUCAAUAUCUGUCUCUUUUAUUCUUUUCCCAAGACCUCGGUUCCUCAGUUUGAUAAUGCAUCUUUGUUAGGAUAGAAUAUUUUAGCCUCAUGGAAAAUACGGAGGCCCAGGCUGAGUCUGCAUUCUCCAAUCUUACCAAACCCCCAAGAAGCCUCCCUCAGGUGCAGUGCAGUGUGCCAGGCAGGUUCGAGUUCCCAAAGGGUUUGGCAGGCAUGUUUCUCUGUGAGGGUCUAGAGAAGCAGCAAUAUAUAAAAGAAGCAGCAAUAUAUAAAACCUUUAGCAGAAACAAAAAAAAUGUUGUUUGAUUCCUGGCUCAAUGACCUUGGGCAAGGCCUUUUCUGAGCCCUUUCUUGGGCCUCAGCUUGCUCAUCUACAGGGUGAGGGAGUAGGUGUCAGUGAUUCCCCAGGCCACUUUCAACCCUCCCGCUCAAUUCUCAUUACUAAUAGUUGUUAAUAUUUCUUUGGAUUCAAUCUGGAACUAGGUAGAGAUUUGGUUUUCUUUUCCACUUUGCUGCUUUUCUGCUCCUUUCUGAGCUUUUAAUCCUCUUUUUAUCAAAUUACCUUUUAUUUAAAAUAAAUGACUUUGAAUCUGUACUGUAUAUUUACCUGAAGAGUCUAUUUAUUGUAAUUACAUUUUUCUGAAAUGGCUUUUAUGUACUUAAUAGUUUCCUUAUUUUGUUACACUCUUGGAUUUUAUUUUAUUAAUUACCUUACUAGAAUUAGAAGGGAUUUAGAGCAUAAGUAUUGUACACAAAGUAAAGUUCCAAUAAAGCUUAUAAGCUACAGAAGGCAUUGUGGGAGAUGUGGGUUUUAAAAGGUUGAGAAACAUAAGAGGUUAAUGUUGAUAAAUUUCAUUAGGCCUUUGACAACUAAAUAUGACAUUUGAACCUUGAGAUUGCAGCAGCCCUUCCUCAGUCUUCAAUAGGAAGGAUUAAAUUCAGUACUACUUUUGAAUUUUAGAAACAAAAUUGUUUACCAGUUUUUGAAUUCCAUGUAGAGACUUCAGCUUCCUACUGAAAAUACUAGGAUAAUAAGUUAGUACUCUCAUCUUCUGUCUCUACUCUGACAUUAGCUAGUUGACAGUGGACAGAAUAUAGCCUUCAUUAUCACGUUGUCUCGCUCUUAUUGUUAUUGUUGUUUUUUGAGGAAGGACAUAAUCCUUUGGCCUAAACCGUGCUUCCUAGGCUUCCUAGGGAUAUGUAGUCCUUUUUUGUACAAUGCAUGUAGAGUCUCUUCAGACAGGAGGUGUCUGAGUCCCACUGCUGAGUUUGUGUUGCAAGGCUGGUUGUGGGUAGGUUUUUAAAGCAGCUGAGUAAACUGAAUCCUUUUUUCCUCUCUCCAGGCUGAAUAUUACUGAAGAAUGAUCCUGUUCAACCUCCUAGUGCCUCUACUGAAUUAUUCCUCUUUUAAAUGGUUAAUGAACCAAUAAUUUUUAAAUCAUACCAAAAAUAGUAAGAAAAUAUGCAAACACUCUGUGAUCAAACUUAAAAGUCAUUGCCAUUCAUCAUUAAUAAAAGUUGCCAUUUCAACUACAUCCCAACAUUACCUAAUAGGGUAUUCAGGGAACCUAUCUUAAAUUGUGCUUAUCUAAAUCUUGGAGCUUUGAGCUAGGGGAGGAGAAUGUAUUAGACUAAAUACAAACUGAGGGGUUGUAAGGGAGUCUCAGAACCUCACUGAAUCCUUCACUCCAGUGAUGGCACUGCUCACUUCCUGCCUCUGCUUCCACCAUCACUGUGUAAAGCUUUCAAGAGCUUGGUACUUCCCAGGGCUACCAGCAGUCCUCUGUAGUCCAGAGAGGUGAGGUUAGAUCUUCUUGGUUCCCUGUGAGGUUUCAGGCACUAAAACUCUAUGUGGGGGAGGGAGGGGUUACUCCUCCUCCAAUGGGACUCAAGGACUUGACCUCCAGGAGUAGGCCCCUGGUCAGAAGUGCCAUCUCACCAGUGGUCUUCAUUCUUCCUCAUUCAUUCUUUAUCAUCCUGUGUUCUGUUUAGUUGCAACAAUCUCUUGUGACUAAUGUCACUCAAAGCAUCUUGUAAAUCCUAGGGCUUCCUGGAAGUUAGUUGCCAAAGUCAUGCAAGCAUCACCUGUCAUUCUUGUGUUGGAGUUAUAGAAUUCUACAUCUUAUAAAACCUAACUGGCAUUUAAAAAAUACUGUGGCCGGGCAUGGUGGCUCAUGUCUGUAAUCCCAGCACUUUGGGAGGCCGAGGUGGGAGGAUUGCUUGAGUCCAGGAAUUUGAGACCAGCCUGGACAACACAGUGAGACCUCAUCUCUAUCAAAAAAUAAAAAUUAGCUAGAUGUGGUGGCAUGAGCCUGUGUUCCCAGCUGCUCAGGAGGCUGAAGCAGGAGGAUUGAUUGAGCCUGCGAGGCCAAGGCUGCAGCAGGCUGUGAUUGCACCACUGCACUUCAGCUUGGGCAACAGAGCAAGACCCUGUCUCCAAAACAAAUAAAAAAUACUGUAAUAAAAGUACUUAUAAACAUACUAAUCCUCUCUCAGGACCCUAAAGUUGCAGGUUAGUAGGUCUUCAAGGACAAAUCUGUAAGUUUCUUAUUUCUGUAGUGCGAGUAAAAUUUCACUUUUUGAAACUAUAGAGAGAUCCCUUUCUGAUUAGCCUACAGAACUUAAAGUGAGGGAACCAUUUCCUCUCACAGACAAAGAAGCCUGGGAUAUUAGGACUUUGGGGUUUGAGAGCAUCAUGGGGCAGACAGAUGGUGGAUGGUCUGGACAAGAAGCGAGUAAGCCACUGCGGUUGGUCAUACUGAAGGGAAUUGAUGGCAAGAGGAUCCCCUGAGCAAGUCAGAAGUUACUCUCAUCAGUCGUUCAUGGUCACAACCUGAGGUACUCUGCUGAGUGGGCAAGGCUGAAGAAGAGGCCUGUGGAAUGCAGCGUUACCUGCUGGACAGAGCAGGGCAGGCAGUUCUAUGCCUUGGAGCUCCUGACUGCAGGGACUCUGUCCCCACACUCAAAAAGACUCAGCUCACUCAAUGAGAGAAUGUGAUUUACUUUAUAGAACGUAUACUCAACUUUGUUGAAUAAUUUGUUCUAUUAAGGCUGUCUAAAGUAUAUGAUGUCUUCAUCAUAGUAUGAAGUGUCGAAAAUUAAUAACGAGCCUAGUUUAGGAAAAAGCUGCUUAAAACUGUGGCUCUAAGAGAGUAAUCAUAAAAUACCUUAGAUAAAAUUGCACUAUGGAAUUUUCAUUGAGUAUGUUUAAAUUAUUGGCUUGUCUACUAAUACACAUCUGCUUCAAAAUGAACAUAUUUCAUAAAAUUGGCAUCAAUUUUAAUGACACUCCUGGUAUGGAACCUCAGAUAUACCCUAUUGGAGACAAUCCUUUGAUCAUAAAUUCUCCCCAACUAUAAAUCCUUUUAUGUCUUUAUCAU
rnacentral:sRNA from 1 species